rnacentral:rRNA from 1 species
CAGCCGCCGCGGUAAUACGUAGGUGGCGAGCGUUGUCCGGAAUUAUUGGGCGUAAAGGGCUCGCAGGCGGUUCCUUAAGUCUGAUGUGAAAGCCCCCGGCUCAACCGGGGAGGGUCAUUGGAAACUGGGAAACUUGAGUGCAGAAGAGGAGAGUGGAAUUCCACGUGUAGCGGUGAAAUGCGUAGAGAUGUGGAGGAACACCAGUGGCGAAGGCGACUCUCUGGUCUGUAACUGACGCUGAGGAGCGAAAGCGUGGGGAGCGAACAGGAUUAGAUACCCCAGUAGUCCCUGUCUCUUAUAC